UCUGCCACCCCCAGGGCAGUCCCGGCAGCCGGGGCUGAGCAGUGCCGAGGGGCUGUCACGGGCACACCGUGCCCCUGCAUCCCAGGGAACGCAAUGGGAAGAGCAGGGAGGGAGAGGAAGGUUAUUUAUAGCUGCAGGAGCAAUUCCAGGGCUGGUGUGGAGGAGCUGGCAGCUGCUGGCUGUGCAGUCACAGUCACCCAGCAGUGGCAGGGGAGCUGGGAGCACACGCUGGCACGGAGGGAAGGCUGUUCCUGAGGGGCCGUGCCCCGCUGCUGGCUGCACUCUGUAGAAGGAGCAGGAAUAGUCACUGCCCAUCUCUGCCUUUCCCACCUCAGUACAGCUCUGGGGUCCAGUCCCCAGCACCCCACUGCUCACCUUCCUGCAGAGCCUGGAAAAUCCCCUUUGUUGCUUUCUCGCCCCCUUGGACAAGAGAUUUGUUCUGCUCAUCGCUUCUGCUUCCCAGAACAAUUUGCUGCUUUUCGCAUUGAUUGCUGUCUAUUUUCCCACUCUGCCUGUUGGUGGAUUUGGGGUUUUUAUUGCUAAUUACUCUUCUUGCUCCUCUGCUGGGGGAAAUACCUCCCAGUCCAUUUUUAACUGGCAUUAAGGGCAUUAAACAAUAUUUACUAGAGAUAAACAUUUUUAAAUCAGUCAGUUUGGACAGGCUGCUUUGUCUUGCAGCUCUUGUCAGAGGCUAGUGAUGCCCUGAAAUACUCUCUUGUACCAAACCUGUCAGGGCUGAGACAAGGCACAGUCUCACUGUGCAAUUUAUGGUUGGAGACCAAAUGGCUGUGUAGGGAAUGCACGGCUGGGGACUGCGGGUGAGACAAAAGCUCCCUGCAGAAGCCCAGGCAGCUGCAAAGUUGGGCUAUAUUUAAUUUCAAAUGCCUGGAGGGCUCCUGUUUGAUUUCUGGGAGGAUUUCAGGCUGAGAGCUAAUAGGGAUAUAGCUGAGGAACAUCUAAGGCUCUUUGCAAACAGCGUACGGGCACCUGCUGAGCUUUUCAGGGGAAGCUGGGAUGGUGCUGAUUUCUCUGCCCAGCGAGGAGUCCCAGGCAGGAGGAGUGCCAGGGGAAGGCAGGCUGCACAGGCCAUGGUGACUCCAGCACCACACACCCCAGGCAGGGCAGUGGGCAGGCAGGCAUCGACCUGGCACCACAAACUGCCCAGGAACAGCCUUGGAGGCAACCAGUGGCCUUUUGAUGUGCUUCAGGAAGAGACACAAGAUUCAGGCCCAGAGAUGUCUGGGUCACAAGAACUUCUCUUUUGUGAAGGAGAUCCACUGAGCAAAGAAAAAUCACCCAGCAAUCCAUCACGAAGGGGAAAAACCAUGAAACCUCCCCAGCAGGGAGCUGAGCAGCACACGGUGAUGGAAAACUGCAGGGAUGGCUUGAACUGCUGAAGGGUUUUCUGAAAAUCAUCGAGAAACUGGAAAAGCCACUGAGGAGGAGGAAAAUACUCUGCUCUAAAAGGCACAA